UACGUAGGGGGCAAGCGUUGUCCGGAUUUACUGGGCGUAAAGGGCGCGUAGGCGGCCCGCUAAGUCGAACGUGAAAUCCCCAGGCUUAACCUGGGAACUGCGUCCGAUACUGGCAGGCUUGAAUCCGGGAGAGGGAUGUGGAAUUCCAGGUGUAGCGGUGAAAUGCGUAGAUAUCUGGAGGAACACCGGUGGCGAAGGCGGCAUCCUGGACCGGUAUUGACGCUGAGGCGCGAAAGCUAGGGGAGCAAACGGG
rnacentral:rRNA from 1 species